ensembl:lncRNA
CUGUGAUCUUUUGUGCUGACUCCGAAGGAGCCUGCAGUUUAUUGUGAAGCAGAAAAUAUCUGCGGACACCAUGAAUGGAGCGGAUUAUCUGCAGCAGCACAGCGCCGAGAGUCUGUCCUUCGAAGAGAUGCAGCAGAUUAACCCGCUCGGAGUCCAUCAGCAGCAGAAAGACGAGGGCAGCCAAACCUCCGAGAGCAAAGGGAACCAGAGUCAGAUUCCUCAUCUGUAUGCACAAACUCGGCCAAAUAAAGAUGACUCUGAAUCUGAACAGGCUUUGAUCCUGACAACUUAAGACAUACAUUACAGCAUCACUCAUUAAAAGGCCAGAAUCACCAUGGUGUUCAUGCCCUUGAUGAGUGGAUGGAAACUUCUGACCAGAACUGUAACCAUAGCAGUGUUUUCUUCUGACUGAACACUCAAAUUACUUUUUACUUGCUUUACAAGCCACAUUCACACAUUUACACACCACUUCUUACUGUGUGCCUUUGUGUGUCUGUGGAGCAGGGCAUCAAAUUAGCUCCACUUUUAAGGUGCAGCAGUCUAAGCACAGAAGCCCACGCGGUCUCUAAGGGCUGAUUUGGAUUUCUGUGGGGAGCUGGUGACGUAACCUACAUAAGUGGCUGACAUUUUUGCUGGCAUUUACACUUGUGCUGGUGCAUUAUGGGUUAGUUGCAGUUUGUCCCGGUGUUUCAUAUGUAGUGCCAGCCAACAGAAAUAAAUAAAAUACUGGGUCCUCACCUUUGUCAGAAAAACAUGUUUUUCCCUCUAGUUUUCCCCCAUUCUUUGUAGUUUCAGCAUUCUCCUUCCAGGAAUCUGCUGGUAUUUGUGAGUCGUUAUAUUGAUGCUGUAAUUAUUAUUCCUUGUAUCAAGACAGCGAUUGUUAUUCUCUCACUAAUCAACAGUGCUGAACAGAACAACCACAUUAGUUGGCAACUUUGACCUGACAUGUAGUUACAUUCCCCAGGAGGUGCAUGUCAGGAUUGCACACUUACACAGAGAGCAGAGACAUCCUUCAGAUGAGUCCUGUUUCUUCUUCUACUUUUAUCUGCAGUGUCAAUAUUUCACUUCUGUCACUGCCCACAGCUCGUUGCCAUAGGUGAGGGUAGCAGCAUAUCAUAGGAGUGCACCAAACAUAAUGAGAAAGACAGGGAAGGUUAUGAAAAAACCAUUAGCAAAUACACAAAUAAAAGUUGUUGUUGUUUUGUUUGUUUUUGCAGUUUUCAGUUUACAAGUCAGGUCCAUGCCAAAUAGCGCUAAUGGAUAUGUAACCAUGACAAUGUCAUACAAAGAAAAAAUGGACAUGUUUCUCUUGAAUUGGACUGAGUUGUAAUUUAUAUGCAGUUUAUUUUUCCUAACGUGUGACGUCUGUGUGUUCUUGAUGGUUUUGCUUGUUUGUUUAAACUUUUUUUAAUAUGUAAGUGACCUCAUUUCUUAUGUUUGUUUGUUUUUAUGCCUGUGAAGCUCUUUGAGCCUCUUUAUGUGAUUAUGUAUGAGGCAAAUAAAAAUGAAUUGGACUGAAUUGGAU